AGCUUGCUCUGGCUGACGAGUGGCGCACGGGUGCGUAACGCGUAUACAAUCUACCUUUUACAGAGGGAUAGCCUUUAGAAAUGAAGAUUAAUACCUCAUAGUAUGAUGAUAAGGCAUCUUAUUAUUAUUAAAGCUUCGGCGGUAAAAGAUGAGUAUGCGUUCUAUUAGCUAGAUGGUGUGGUAACGGCACACCAUGGCAACGAUAGAUAGGGGCCCUGAGAGGGGGAUCCCCCACACUGGUACUGAGACACGGACCAGACUCCUACGGGAGGCAGCAGUGAGGAAUAUUGGACAAUGGAGGCAACUCUGAUCCAGCCAUGCCGCGUGCAGGAAGACGGCCCUAUGGGUUGUAAACUGCUUUUAUACAGGAAGAAACACUCCCUCGUGAGGGAAUUUGACGGUACUGUAAGAAUAAGGAUCGGCUAACUCCGUGCCAGCAGCCGCGGUAAUACGGAGGGUCCAAGCGUUAUCCGGAAUCAUUGGGUUUAAAGGGUCCGUAGGCGGGCAAUUAAGUCAGGGGUGAAAUCCCACAGCUCAACUGUGGAACUGCCUUUGAUACUGGUUGUCUUGAGUUAUAGUGAAGUAGAUAGAAUGUGUAGUGUAGCGGUGAAAUGCAUAGAUAUUACACAGAAUACCGAUUGCGAAGGCAGUCUACUAACUGUAUACUGACGCUAAUGGACGAAAGCGUGGGGAGCGAACAGGAUUAGAUACCCUGGUAGUCCACGCCGUAAACGAUGGAUACUAGCUGUUCGGUAGCAAUACUGAGUGGCUAAGCGAAAGUGAUAAGUAUCCCACCUGGGGAGUACGUUCGCAAGAAUGAAACUCAAAGGAAUUGACGGGGGCCCGCACAAGCGGUGGAGCAUGUGGUUUAAUUCGAUCAUACGCGAGGAACCUUACCAGGGCUUAAAUGUAGAUUGACAGGAGCAGAGACGCUCUUUUCUUCGGACAUCUUUCAAGGUGCUGCAUGGUUGUCGUCAGCUCGUGCCGUGAGGUGUCAGGUUAAGUCCUAUAACGAGCGCAACCCCUGCCGUUAGUUGCCAGCAUGUAAAGAUGGGGACUCUAACGGGACUGCCGGUGCAAACCGUGAGGAAGUUGGGGAUGACGUCAAAUCAUCACGGCCCUUACGUCCUGGGCCACACACGUGCUACAAUGGCCGGGACAGAGAGCAGCCAUGUUGCAAGACAGAGCGAAUCUAUAAAACCGGUCACAGUUCGGAUCGGGGUCUGCAACUCGACCCCGUGAAGCUGGAAUCGCUAGUAAUCGGAUAUCAGCCAUGAUCCGGUGAAUACGUUCCCGGGCCUUGACACACCGCCCGUCAAGCCAUGAAGUUGGGGGU
rnacentral:rRNA from 1 species